rnacentral:rRNA from 1 species
UAGUCCUACGGGGGGCAGCAGUGGGGAAUAUUGCACAAUGGGGGAAACCCUGAUGCAGCGACGCCGCGUGAGUGAAGAAGUAUUUCGGUAUGUAAAGCUCUAUCAGCGGGGAAGAAAAUGACGGUACCUGACUAAGAAGCCCCGGCUAACUACGUGCCAGCAGCCGCGGGAAUACGUAGGGGGCAAGCGUUAUCCGGAUUUACUGGGUGUAAAGGGAGCGGAGACGGCAGCG